GGCAAACAAUAAAAAGAGCGAGGAGGAAGAAGCUUCAAAAAGUAAAAGUUAAGCAUUUUUCAGUCUUCUUGAUUCACAUGGAUGCAUUUUAAUCACAAAAUGGCUCUAAUAAUUAAGCAUAUGUUGCGCUAUGAUGAAUUGCCAGCAAUUCAUCACCCUUUAGUUCGCUAUCUGGAUAGGACUUCUGAAUGUCCAAACAGUCGGGAUCGUUUCUGUGUGCAUUGCAGCUGUUCCCUGCUAUGGAGCUCCGUCAUUGUGCACAACCAGACACCAAACCAAAGGAUCCUUGAAUAUUCCCCAAACGCCACUGCAAAGCUUUCUGUUUUGAGCUCCGCAGUUCCUGUUUAAAGAUGAAAUAUAAAACAGGUCCCUGCCAAACCCCCGGCAGUUCGGCUUAUUGGCGGAGAUGGCGAUGACAUCAUCUGUCUGGAGGAAGGUGUGAAUCUCUGGUUGCGCUGGUGGAGUUUCUGUGUGCCCAUGUAUGUGUAUGCACAUGUGUUUGCGCAUGCUUGGUUUGUGUGCAUGGAUUUGUAUUUUCCCAUAUAUCUGUGUUUGUAUG